AUGGGAUACACAAUUGUCUUACAGCGUUGCACUGUUACCUAUAUUCUAAAUAGCGGAGGUGAAAACGCUGAAUAAUACCAAAUGAAGAAGGCAUGUCUUAAUUGUACAAGCAGAUACGCUGAGCCUAAAUUUUUACAUUCGAUCUGAGAAAGGUUAACAGUUCGCAUGAUACAUUUCAUUUAAACUUUAGAGUAAGAGUGUUUACAGUUAUAUAAAUAUUUAGUGGUUUCUGGUUAGAGUAAUUGAAUAGACCAUCCGUAAGAUAAAAAAAAAAACAUGACGAAAAUUAAGAAGAAAAAAACCCAAUAGAAACAAAUUAUCUCCAAACGGAUCUUGGCGAAAUGUGUCAACAAGAUGUGUGUCCCAGCCAAUAAUAGCACCAUCAGCAUUCGACCGGCUCCUGACUAAUA
rnacentral:lncRNA from 1 species